rnacentral:lncRNA from 1 species
UGAACACUUGCUAAAGCCUGGGGUGGGACUCAGCACAAUCCAGUGAGUGAAAGAAGGCCAGAGCCUCCGUCCUAACCGAGUACGAAAGAAGCAUGAGAUGAUACCACUAGGUUGUCAGGGGCAUUUUGGUGGAAACAUCUGAAAAUUCUCAGCUGAAGACACAGAGCAAGAAAAAAAAAGUGGGAAGCAGAUGAGAUAAAAGAUAAAGAAGACACAAAGAGGAAGACAUGUAAGCA